UACAGAGGGUGCAAGCGUUAAUCGGAAUUACUGGGCGUAAAGCGCAUGUAGGUGGUUUGGCAAGUUGGAUGUGAAAGCCCUGGGCUUAACCUGGGAACUGCAUUCAAACUAUCAAGCUAGAGUAGAGUAGAGGGAAGUGGAAUUUCCGGUGUAGCGGUGAAAUGCGUAGAUAUCGGAAGGAACACCAGUGGCGAAGGCGGCUUCCUGGACUCAUACUGACACUGAGGUGCGAAAGCGUGGGGAGCAAACAGG
rnacentral:rRNA from 1 species